UACAGAGGUCUCAAGCGUUGUUCGGAUUCAUUGGGCGUAAAGGGUGCGUAGGUGGCGCGGUAAGUCGGGUGUGAAAUUUCGGAGCUUAACUCCGAAACUGCAUUCGAUACUGCCGUGCUUGAGGACUGGAGAGGAGACUGGAAUUUACGGUGUAGCAGUGAAAUGCGCAGAUAUCAGGAGGAACACCGGUGGCGAAGGCGGGUCUCUGGGCCGAUACUGACGCUGAGGAGCGAAAGCGUGGGGAGCGAACAGG
rnacentral:rRNA from 1 species